GCUGUUGAAAAAGCAUGGGAUGAGCUGUGGAUAGCGGAGAAAUUCCAAUCGAACCCGGAGAUAGCUGGUUCUCUCCGAAAUAGCUUUAGGGCUAGCGUCGAGUAUGAGUAGUGGAGGUAGAGCACUGAAUGGGCUAGGGGGCAUAGCGCUUACCGAACCUUAUCAAACUCCGAAUGCCACAUACUUUGAGCUCGGCAGUCAGACUACGAAUGAUAAGAUCCGUGGUCAAAAGGGAAACAGCCCAGAUCGUCAGCUAAGGUCCCAAAGUGUAAGUUAAGUGGGAAAGGAUGUGAGAUUUCUAAGACAACUAGGAUGUUGGCUUAGAAGCAGCCAUUCAUUAAAAGAGUGCGUAAUAGCUCACUAGUCGAGAGAUCUUGCGCCGAAAAUGUAACGGGGCUAAACUUACCACCGAAGCUACGGGCUUGAACWUAGUUCAAGCGGUAGGAGAGCGUCGUAACCGGGCUGAAGUCGUACCGUAAGGAGCGGUGGACUGGUUACGAGUGAGAAUGUUGGCAUCAGUAGCGAGAUGUGGGUGAGAAUCCCACAGGCCGAAAACCUAAGGUUUCCUCAGGAAGGUUCGUCCGCUGAGGGUUAGUCGGGACCUAAGCCGAGGCCGAAAGGCGUAGGUGAUGGACAACUGGUUGAUAUUCCAGUACCACUACCAUCGUUAUUAUCGAUGGCGUGACGCAGGAGGAUAGUGUGUGCUAGCUAUUGGAUGCUAGUCUAAGCGUUUAGGCAGUGAGAGUAGGCAAAUCCGCUCUCAUAAUGCUGAGGCGUGAUGGGGAAGGUUCYACGGAACCGAAGUACAUGAUUCCACGCUGCCAAGAAAAGCGUCUAGAGAGAGAAGUAGUGCCCGUACCGCAAACCGACACAGGUAGGUGAGGAGAGAAUCCUAAGGCCGGCGGAAGAAUUACAGUUAAGGAACUCGGCAAAUUGACCCCGUAAGUUCGCGAGAAGGGGUGCCUACGAGAGUAGGCCGCAGAGAAUAGGCCCAAGCAACUGUUUAGCAAAAACACAGGUCUCUGCUAAAGCGUAAGCUGAUGUAUAGGGGCUGACGCCUGCCCGGUGCUGGAAGGUUAAGGGGAACACUUAGCGCAAGCGAAGGUGUGAACUUAAGCCCCAGUAAACGGCGGCCGUAACUAUAACGGUCCUAAGGUAGCGAAAUUCCUUGUCAGGUAAGUUCUGACCCGCACGAAUGGCGUAAUGACUUGGGCACUGUCUCAACUGUAAAUCCGGCGAAGUUGUAGUGCGAGUGAAGAUGCUCGCUACCCGCGAUUGGACGGAAAGACCCCGUAGAGCUUUACUGUAGCUUAGCAUUGAGUUUUGGUAUUGUCUGUACAGGAUAGGUGGGAGACUAGGAAACCAGGGCGUCAGCCUUGGUGGAGUCAACCUUGGGAUACCACCCUGACAGUACUGAAAUUCUAACUGGCGGCCAUGAAUCUGGUCACAGGACAUUGUUAGGUGGGCAGUUUGACUGGGGCGGUCGCCUCCUAAAAAGUAACGGAGGCGCCCAAAGGUUCCCUCAGAACGGUCGGAAAUCGUUCGAAGAGUGCAAAGGCAGAAGGGAGCCUGACUGCGACACCCACAAGUGGAGCAGGGACGAAAGUCGGGCUUAGUGAUCCGGUGGUACCUCGUGGGAGGGCCAUCGCUCAACGGAUAAAAGCUACCUCGGGGAUAACAGGCUGAUCUCCCCCAAGAGUCCACAUCGACGGGGAGGUUUGGCACCUCGAUGUCGGCUCGUCGCAUCCUGGGGCUGAAGUAGGUCCCAAGGGUUGGGCUGUUCGCCCAUUAAAGCGGCACGCGAGCUGGGUUCAGAACGUCGUGAGACAGUUCGGUCCCUAUCCGUCGCGGGCGUAGGAAAUUUGAGAGGAGCUGUCCUUAGUACGAGAGGACCGGGAUGGACUGACCUCUGGUGUACCAGUUGUUCCGCCAGGAGCACAGCUGGGUAGCUAAGUCGGGAAUGGAUAAACGCUGAAAGCAUCUAAGCGUGAAGCCAACCUCAAGAUGAGAUUUCCCAUAGCGUAAGCUAGUAAGAUCCCUUGAAGAACACAAGGUUGAUAGGUCGGGGGUGUAAGCAUGGUAACAUGUUCAGCUGACCGAUACUAAUAGAUCGAGGGCUUGACCAA
rnacentral:rRNA from 1 species